rnacentral:rRNA from 1 species
GAUGAACGCUGGCGGCGUGCUUAACACAUGCAAGUCGAACGGUGAACGAGGGAGCUUGCUCCCUCCGGAUCAGUGGCGAACGGGUGAGUAACACGUGAGCAAUCUGCCCCGAACUCUGGGAUAAGCGCUGGAAACGGCGUCUAAUACCGGAUACGACGCGCGAAGGCAUCUUCUGCGCGUGGAAAGAAUUUCGGUUCGGGAUGAGCUCGCGGCCUAUCAGCUAGUUGGUGAGGUAACGGCUCACCAAGGCGACGACGGGUAGCCGGCCUGAGAGGGUGACCGGCCACACUGGGACUGAGACACGGCCCAGACUCCUACGGGAGGCAGCAGUGGGGAAUAUUGCACAAUGGGCGCAAGCCUGAUGCAGCAACGCCGCGUGAGGGACGACGGCCUUCGGGUUGUAAACCUCUUUUAGUAGGGAAGAAGCGAAAGUGACGGUACCUGCAGAAAAAGCACCGGCUAACUACGUGCCAGCAGCCGCCGCCGUAA